rnacentral:lncRNA from 1 species
GACAAAAUCAUUCUCGAGCAAUUCAACAUACAAUUGACUUGUACAUUAAUAAUUUACAAGAGUCCUUGAGAAAUGGAAGGAUGACAUUGUCAGAAUAUUUGUAGGCAGUAGUUGAACGCACAAAUAUUCGACGGGAGCUGAGACAACGUGGCUCAUAAUUUGGAAGUGUAGAAAACCAAAGUUAAAGAGAUACCAGCAAAUGUAAACUUUCUUAAAUAUAAAUAAAAGUUAUACUUAUAACUUC